UACGGGGGGAGCAAGCGUUGUUCGGAUUUACUGGGCGUAAAGGGCGCGUAGGCGGUCAGCGCAAGUCAGUUGUGAAAUCUCUGGGCUUAACCCAGAACGGUCAACUGAUACUGCGCGACUAGAGUGCAGAAGGGGCAACUGGAAUUCUCGGUGUAGCGGUGAAAUGCGUAGAUAUCGAGAGGAACACCUGCGGCGAAGGCGGGUUGCUGGGCUGACACUGAGACACGAAGGCCAGGGGAGCAAACGGG
rnacentral:rRNA from 1 species